rnacentral:lncRNA from 1 species
UAUACCUAUAUAUAUAUAUAUAUAUAUAUAUAUAUAGAGAGCUAGGCUGCUAUACUAUCGGUAGCACGGACGCCUUCGUGCUAUCAAGUUGUUUUCAAUGAUGCCGCUUCUAAAUCGACGAUCAGCUCCGUUAGACUUGAUCUACAUUAUUGAAGGUAUUUGGAAACUAAAUUUUAUAAUUUUUCGGUAUCAUUUACCUAUCAAAUGAGUAGUCUAAAAAUGAACGGCUGAAAGUAAAAAUCUCAUAAAAAAUGAUGAUAGAAGACUUGAAUUUAAGAUCAGAGGUACUGAUCUUACUCUAAAUAGUAAAAAGAAUUUUCUAUAAAAAUUUCAUCUGAUUUAGAUUGUUUUACACCGUUAAAUUUACAAAUGCAUCACAUCUACCAUUAAAAUUGUCAAUUUUGAGACCUUUUGAUCACUAGCCAAAUGAUGUCGAAAAAUUCUGAAAUUUAGUUUCCAAAUACUUUCAAUAGUGUAGAUCAAGUUUAACGGAGCCGAUCGCCAAUUUGGAAGCCGCAUCAUCGAAAACAACUUGGUAGCAUGGAAGCCUCCGUGCUACCGAUAGUAUAGCAGCCGGACUCUAUAUAUAUAUAUAUAUAUAUAUUUGCAAAAAAAGCUUAUAAGUGGAAUGUGGUGGUCCCUGUGCGUGGGUGCACGCUAUCGUAAACCACGUCCUAGUAGGAGAAAACAGGGCCCUGUGCGGGGUUAAAGAACUUGGAAUAUAUGUGCGG